rnacentral:tRNA from 1 species
GGCAUGGUGGCCAACUGGUAAGGCGUUGGUCUUGUAAACUGAAGAUCAUGGGUUCAAAUCCCUUCUGUUCCU